AGAGUUUGAUCCUGGCUCAGGACGAACGCUGGCGGCAGGCCUAACACAUGCAAGUCGAGCGGCAGCGGGAAAGUAGCUUGCUCCUUGGGUGACGAGUGGCGGACGGGUGAGUAAUGUCUGGGAAACUGCCCGAUGGCGGGGGAUAACUACUGGAAACGGUAGCUAAUACCGCAUAAUGUCUACGGACCAAAGCGGGGGACCUCCGGGCCUCGCGCCAUCAGAUGAACCCAUAUGGGAUUAGCUUGUAGGUAAGGUAACGGCUUACCUAGGCGACGAUCCCUAGCUGGUCUGAGAGGAUGAUCAGCCACACUGGGACUGAGACACGGCCCAGACUCCUACGGGAGGCAGCAGUGGGGAAUAUUGCACAAUGGGCGCAAGCCUGAUGCAGCCAUGCCGCGUGUAUGAAGAAGGCCUUAGGGUUGUAAAGUACUUUCAGUUGGGAGGAAGGCGUUGAUGCUAAUAUCAUCAACGAUUGACGUUACCAACAGAAGAAGCACCGGCUAACUCCGUGCCAGCCGCCGCGGUAAUAC
rnacentral:rRNA from 1 species